rnacentral:rRNA from 1 species
GACGGAGGAGGCUAGCGUUGUCCGGAAUGACUGGGCGUAAAGCGCAUGUAGGCGGGGCCUUAAGUCGGCGGUGAAAUUUUCCCGCUCAACGGGAAAACUGCCGCCGAAACUGAGACUCUUGAGGACAGGAGGGGAGAGCGGAAUUGCUGGUGUAGCGGUGAAAUGCGUAGAGAUCAGCAAGAACACCCGUGGCGAAGGCGGCUCUCUAGACUGUUCCUGACGCUGAGAUGCGAAAGCCAGGGGAGCGAACGGG